CGCGCGGGGCAGAGCCGCGGCGGGGCCGGAGAUCCGUGCGGCCGCCGCGAUGCCCGCACCGGAGGCCGGCAGCGGCCGGGAUCGGUCAUAAACACCUGUGUUUGAUCUGGUUCCAGAAUGACGGGCAUGAGAACAGCUGCCAGGAGCAUGGAAAUCCUGUGCUGUGGGUAACUUCCAAACCAGCGUUUUCAGGGAGCUGCCACAGGAGCUGCAUGUGGGGCCAUGGCGUUGCUGUUAGACACAGAUGUCAAAAGCUGAAGUGGUCUAACUUGAUGUGCCAAGCUGAGCCUGUUUCUCCUGCCUGUGCCCUGCACCCAGCAGCCAUGCUUGCCCGUGGUGCUGCACACACACGGCUGCUGCUGUGGCUCGUGGAACACCCACCUCGUGUCGCAUGGGAUGGCUGCAGAAGCCCGUCUCUCUCCUGCAUCCUCUGAGACCAGAGUCUCGCUGCGUUUCUCCCUUCCCGAAAGCGAGAGCCUGCGGGCGUUGGCGGCGCCGCGGUCUGACAGGAGAGCGGGGAGCGGAGCCGUGCCGGGAUUAAGUCACUCUCACAAGGUCACGCGGUGAAUCGCUGCUGCUGCCAAGAAUAGCGCCCCGAGUCUCUUGGCUCUCUCAAGCCCACCCGCAGCACUCCAGCCUCCUUUCCUCGGGUUAUGAAGCUUUCUGCAGCAAGAUUUGAAGCAGCCAAAUUCCAGCUUAGAUCAAAGUCCCUAGGAUUCACUUGUGAUUUCCGGAUGGAGUAUGGCAAGAGCGUUGGUGGGAGCAGACAAUGCUUGUGCUGAUAGCAGAGGUUGAAGUGUUUCCUGUCAUGGAAAAGACGAACAAGCCAGUUCCACUUCAGCUUUCUUUUCUGAGACUUCUCUCUGCUGCAGAGGGGAGGACGCUGAGGGGAGUGCUGUGGGUCAGCCUCAUCUGGCAUCUGCAGGAGCGCUGUGUGUGUAGUGCUGGGUGCUUCAGGAGAGCCUCUUCUCCUCCCACAGCCCCACCAUACAUCCAUGUUCUUGCUGCUGCCUCCUGCAGCACAGUCCAUGCUUUGGCCUUGCCAUCCCUGCCUGGACUCCCUUCUGCAGCAGCUGCUGCCAGCUGUAACUGAAGCCUCAGUUCCUGUGAUGAUGCUCCUGGGACAGAGCCCGAUGGCAUCUGCAGAGUGGGGCAUGGAGAACAAGGGACCCCGAGCCACAGAGAGGGACUGCAGCCCCUGUGCCCCUCUCCCCACGGAGAGACAGCAGAACAUCGUGGUGCCCUCAGAGCCAGCACAGUGCAGACAUCUCCAACAGGGGAUCAGCAAACGUAAAGGACAGGUACACUCCCUUCUGAGUGACAGCACUUCCCACAGCCUCGCUCUCCAGCCCCUGGAGCCUGCUGCAGCAGCCCUGGGAGCCCGGCCAUGGUGAGGGCUAUCCCUGCCUCUGUGCACAUGCCUCUGUGCACAUGUGUCUGCCUGAGCGCUGCCAUGUUUGGAGCUGUGUGGUGGCUGCUGUCAGAACCCAGGAAUGCAGCCUCAGGAACAGAACCCUGCACAGGCAAAUGUGGCAGAACCUGGGCAGUGUCUGCAGCAGCAGUUAGGAAUCCGGGACUGGGAGCUGACUGUGCUUGCAUUCCCAGGAGGACAAAGCAGGGCCUCGAUUGCCAGGAAUAAUACCCAGAUUUGUGGUGCUGAGAAGGUGAAGCUGCAGCGUGAGCCCCCCUGGAAUCCUCGUUGUAGGAGAAACGCACUGGGAGCAGCGUG